rnacentral:tRNA from 1 species
AGCUUAGUGGACAUGGCAUCUGCCCGGUAAGCGGAACACUGUGGGUUCGAUUCCCAU